rnacentral:lncRNA from 1 species
CGCGGCUCCCGCCGCCGCCCCACAGAGAACGCAGCGCCCGCGGCGGGAGCGGCGCCACGCGGGCCACGGCACCAAAGAGCCCCGGCAGCAGCUCCGGCCCGGUAGCUCCGGCCCAGUAGCUACAGCCCACCGUGCCGCCCGCCGUACCCACCGCGCUCCGCGGCCGCCACCACACACUCACAAACCCGGGGCCGCGCGCUGCCCCAGCAGCGCCCGCGAUGGGCAGCGAGAGCAGGCCCGGGCCCGCCCCCUCCGGUACGGCCCCGCCUCCCGAGCCGGUGGCGCGCGGCCGCCGUGAGGGGGUCGGGCGGCCCCAGGGGCCUGAAGAGGAGCAGCGCGUCAUGGCACGGCAGGCACGUCUCAGUGAGCGGAAUUAUUCUAACGAGCCGUCAUUUGACCUUAGUGUUAGUUAUGGGCAGAGAAGUCGAUCAGGAUUCUGA